rnacentral:lncRNA from 1 species
AAUCAGCAUUUAUCUGCUUGCUGUACCGGUACAGCCAUUACCUUGUACCGGUACAGACUGGCAGAAACGUGGCAGCAAGGGUCUUUUCGUAAUUUCACAUCUUAACCCUUAUCUAUACCCCCUGCACGACCACAGGAGCUCAGUGGAGGUUGCUGGUGAUCAGAGAGAGCUUCUCCCACCUUCUCCACUCUCUCUCUCUAGGGUUUUUCUCUCUCUACGUGGAAUUCGUCGUUUCGCGCCGUUUCCGCGCCGCGCUCGUUGUUC